UUCGAUGGUAGGAUAGAGGCCUACCAUGGUGGUAACGGGUAACGGGGAAUUAGGGUUCGAUUCCGGAGAGGGAGCCUGAGAAACGGCUACCACAUCCAAGGAAGGCAGCAGGCGCGCAAAUUACCCAAUCCCGACACGGGGAGGUAGUGACAAUAAAUAACAAUACGGGGCUCUUUCGGGUCUCGUAAUUGGAAUGAGUACAAUUUAAAUCCCUUAACGAGGAACAAUUGGAGGGCAAGUCUGGUGCCAGCAGCCGCGGUAAUUCCAGCUCCAAUAGCGUAUAUUAAAGUUGUUGCAGUUAAAAAGCUCGUAGUUGAAUUUCGGGAUUGACACAUCGGUCGUGCCCUAAGGGGUAUGAACUGGUGUCGUCAGUUUCUCACCUUCUGGAGAACCGCGAUGUCCUUAAUUGGGUGCCGCGAGGAACCAGGACCCUUACUUUGAAAAAAUUAGAGUGUUUAAAGCAGGCAUUUUGCUUGAAUACAUUAGCAUGGAAUAAUAAAAUAGGACGGAUGGUUCUAUUUUGUUGGUUUCUAGGAUCACCGUAAUGAUUAAUAGGGAUAGUUGGGGGCAUUAGUAUUCAAUUGUCAGAGGUGAAAUUCUUGGAUUUAUUGAAGACUAACUACUGCGAAAGCAUUUGCCAAGGAUGUUUUCAUUAAUCAAGAACGAAAGUUAGGGGAUCGAAGACGAUCAGAUACCGUCGUAGUCUUAACCAUAAACUAUGCCGACUAGGAAUCAGACGAUGUUAAUUUUUUAAUGACUCGUUUGGCACCUUACGGGAAACCAAAGUGUUUGGGUUC
rnacentral:rRNA from 1 species